AAAUAGAGCUGUUCUUCUUAAGCAGAGAGAUGCCUAUUGUGUGGGUAAUUACAGGGAGGCCCGGCUGACCUGGCAAUGAGGUAGGGUAGCUAAAUACCUGAAGGCAAGGGGAGCGUCUGAAGUGAAAGCGAAGGCCCCAUCUGCCAGGCUGUAAUGAUUGUGCUAUUUGGAGGCAGAAAGGUUUGUCUGGAGCAGCUGGUUUCUCUCCAAGUGACCUUUUAGCAUUUCUGCUUUUGCCGUCUGACAGAUGUGUCAACUCAAUAAUUUCAAAAGCCCCUGAGUAAAUAACCAAUUGUGAGCAAGGAUGACCCAAAGCGAUGACAAAAUGGCUGCACGCGGCACAUUAUGGAGCAUAAUACCGAGUGACGGAACAGGGAACAUUAUCAGAAGGAAAAAACAUUUUCGUCUUUAGUUGGGACUAAAUGGCUCUCCUACCCACACUUCAGUUGUUCUUGAAGCGGGGAAGAAAGGGAAAUGCGCUGACACGGAGGGACGCGGCGGCGGCCUUGCCCUUGAAAGCCCGCGUUACCGGGCGCGGGACUCAGCUGGCGUCAGGGCGCUGGAAAUGGACUCCCGCGCGCUCGCCCCCGCUCUGCCGGAGGACCCAGCCCGGGCUAAUUGGCGCUGUGAAUGAUUCGGGGCUGUGAACAGGCGACUGCAAUCAGACUAGGGCUGAUGGCGUUGGGAGUCUUGCAGAGUUUGCACUGGCAAGGCAGGCUUUUUAAACCCUUCACUGCUCCACUGGAAACACCACCAAACUAAGGCCUUUGGGAUAAAAUGCCAGACAAGACACAGUCGUCGCCUUCAAGGGGAUUUAAGUCUAGCAGGAGUGGGAGAAGUUGAAAAGAACACAAGGAACACUGUUGACUCCCACUGUAUAAGAACUACAGUGCAUCUAUCUCCAUUAGCAUUGUCACACGGGUUUUAUAAAAUCAUAUUACAA
rnacentral:lncRNA from 1 species